rnacentral:rRNA from 1 species
UACAGAGGGGGCAAGCGUUGUUCGGAAUUACUGGGCGUAAAGGGCGCGUAGGCGGCCUUCUAAGUCGAACGUGAAAUCCCCGGGCUCAACCCGGGAACUGCGUCCGAUACUGGAAGGCUUGAAUCCGGGAGAGGGAUGUGGAAUUCCAGGUGUAGCGGUGAAAUGCGUAGAUAUCUGGAAGGAACACCGGUGGCGAAGGCGACAUCCUGGACCGGUAUUGACGCUGAGGCGCGAAAGCCAGGGGAGCAAACGGG